rnacentral:rRNA from 1 species
UGGCGGCGUGGAUAAGACAUGCAAGUCGAACGCUGAUUAGGUUGUAGCAAAUAUAAUCUAGUCGGAGUGGCGCAAGGGUGCGUAACACGUGGGUAAUCUGCCGUGAAGUUUGGGAUAACUCGCUGAAAGGCGAGCUAAUACCGGAUGUGAAUGUUAGGGAGCAUUUUCUGGCAUUCAAAGCUGGGGACCGCAAGGCCUGGCGCUUCACGAUGAGCCCGCGGCCUAUCAGCUAGUUGGUAAGGUAACGGCUUACCAAGGCUAAGACGGGUAGCUGGUCUGAGAGGACGACCAGCCACACUGGAACUGAGACACGGUCCAGACACCUACGGGUGGCAGCAGUCGAGAAUUUUUCACAAUGGGCGCAAGCCUGAUGGAGCGACGCCGCGUGGGGGAUGAAGGGUUUCGAUCCGUAAACCCCUGUCAUUUGCGAACAAUGGUCAUUCAAUAACACUGGAUGGCUUGAUAGUAGCGGAAGAGGAAGGGACGGCUAACUCUGUGCCAGCAGCCGCGGUAAUACAGAGGUCCCAAGCGUUGUUCGGAUUCACUGGGCGUAAAGGGUGCGUAGGUGGCUGUGGAAGUUCGAUGUGAAAGCUCGGAGCUUAACUCCGAAAAGGCAUUGAAUACUCUAUGGCUGGA